UACGUAGGGUGCAAACGUUGUCCGGAAUUACUGGGUGUAAAGGGUGCACAGGCGGUUUUGUGCGUCAGAGGUAAAAUCCCACAGCUCAACUGUGGACCUGCCUUUGAUACGGCGAGACUUGAGUACAAGAGAGGAUGAUAGAAUUCCUGGUGUAGCGGUGAAAUGCGUAGAUAUCAGGAGGAAUACCAGUGGCGAAGGCGGUCAUCUGGCUUGUAACUGACGCUUAAGCACGAAAGCAUGGGUAGCGAACAGG
rnacentral:rRNA from 1 species